GUACCUUGACGGUACCUAACCAGAAAGCCACGGCUAACUACGUGCCAGCAGCCGCGGUAAUACGUAGGUGGCAAGCGUUGUCCGGAAUUAUUGGGCGUAAAGCGCGCGCAGGUGGUUCCUUAAGUCUGAUGUGAAAGCCCACGGCUCAACCGUGGAGGGUCAUUGGAAACUGGGGAACUUGAGUGCAGAAGAGGAAAGUGGAAUUCCAAGUGUAGCGGUGAAAUGCGUAGAGAUNUGGAGGAACACCAGUGGCGAAGGCGACUNUCUGGUCUGUAACUGACACUGAGGCGCGAAAGCGUGGGGAGCGAACAGGAUUAGAUACCCUGGUAGUCCACGCCGUAAACGAUGAGUGCUAAGUGUUAGAGGGUUUCCGCCCUUUAGUGCUGCAGCAAACGCAUUAAGCACUCCGCCUGGGGAGUACGGUCGCAAGACUGAAACUCAAAGGAAUUGACGGGGGCCCGCACAAGCGGNGGAGCAUGUGGUUUAAUUCGAAAGCAACGCGAAGAA
rnacentral:rRNA from 1 species